rnacentral:lncRNA from 1 species
GUUUGGAUGAAGGUCCAUGUUUUUUGUGCUUUCUGUUGAUUUCCAGCCAAUGGAUUCUGACUGUCUCAGGCCCACUGUUAAACCUCCACUCCAUCUGGAUAAUUAUAUUUCCUGCCUCCCACCCCAGUUUUUCAAUUAUUUUUUUCUCAGAAUACAGGAGUUGGAAAAGCAUGAGAACACUCUGAUACACAAGGAAGGAGUCUCUUGCAAUAUAACAGUGUUAGUCACUGAACUGUUUGGACAGCGAUGUUAAUAUCUUCGGAGAGCUCACAACUGUGGUGUACCAGGGUUCAUUUCAGUACGUGGCCUGGGAAAGGCAAGUUAAGGCCGUCCAGGAACCGAAGCUACAAGGAAACAACCAUUUGCCAACGUUACCAGCAUGUGCAGAAAAACAACCGUCCACUCUAGGGUGCUCCUUUCUGCCUGGAGUUAGCAAUUGUGUGCCAGCCAUGUGAAGCCCUUCGCUAUCUGUAACAACCUCACCCCUGAACUCAACUGCAUUUAUGUCUGUUUCAUUGUCUCUUGACCCAACCCACAGUUGCAAACAGAAGAAUAAAAUUUAACCCUAAAAAGACUGAGAAGUACA